CCUACGGGUGGCAGCAGUAGGGAAUAUUGCUCAAUGGGGGAAACCCUGAAGCAGCAACGCCGCGUGGAGGAUGAAGGUUUUCGGAUUGUAAACCCCUUUUGUUAGAGAAGAUAAUGACGGUAUCUAACGAAUAAGCACCGGCUAACUCCGUGCCAGCAGCCGCGGUAAUACGGAGGGUGCAAGCGUUAUCCGGAUUUACUGGGCGUAAAGGGAGCGUAGGCGGGAUAGCAAGUCAGAUGUGAAAUCCUGUGGCUUAACCCUAGAACUGCAUUUGAAACUGUUAUUCUAGAGUAUGGGAGGGGUAGGCGGAAUUCUUGGUGUAGGGGUGAAAUGCGUAGAGAUCAAGAGGAAUACUCAUUGCGAAGGCGGCCUGCUAGACCAUCACUGACGUUGAUGCGCGAAAGCGUGGGGAGCAAACAGGAUUAGAUACCCGGGUAGUC
rnacentral:rRNA from 1 species